UGGGGAAUAUUGGACAAUGGGCGAAAGCCUGAUCCAGCAAUGCCGCGUGUGUGAAGAAGGUCUUCGGAUUGUAAAGCACUUUCGGCGGGGACGAUGAUGACGGUACCCGCAGAAGAAGCCCCGGCUAACUUCGUGCCAGCAGCCGCGGUAAUACGAAGGGGGCUAGCGUUGCUCGGAAUGACUGGGCGUAAAGGGCGCGUAGGCGGUCGCGAUAGUCAGAUGUGAAAUUCCUGGGCUUAACCUGGGGACUGCAUUUGAUACUGUGUGGCUUGAGUGUGGAAGAGGGUCGUGGAAUUCCCAGUGUAGAGGUGAAAUUCGUAGAUAUUGGGAAGAACACCGGUGGCGAAGGCGGCGACCUGGUCCUUGACUGACGCUGAGGCGCGAAAGCGUGGGGAGCAAAC
rnacentral:rRNA from 1 species